AGUGGCGACCAGGUGAGUAAACGUGACUAACCUACCUUCAAGUGGGGAAUAACCUCGGGAAACCGGGGCUAAUACCGCAUAACGUCUUCGGACCAAAGGAGCAAUUCGCUGGAAGAGGGGGUCGCGGCCGAUUAGCUAGUUGGUGGGGUAACGGCCCACCAAGGCUGUGAUCGGUAGCCGGCCUGAGAGGGCGCACGGCCACACUGGAACUGAAACACGGUCCAGACUCCUACGGGAGGCAGCAGUGGGGAAUUUUGCGCAAUGGGGGAAACCCUGACGCAGCAACGCCGCGUGGAGGAUGAAGCCCCUUGGGGUGUAAACUCCUUUCGAUCGGGACGAUAAUGACGGUACCGGAUGAAGAAGCACCGGCUAACUCUGUGCCAGCAGCCGCGGUAAUACAGAGGGUGCAAGCGUUGUUCGGAAUUAUUGGGCGUAAAGGGUGCGUAGGCGGUGCGGUAAGUCUGUUGUGAAAUCUCCGGGCUCAACUCGGAGCUUGCAACGGA
rnacentral:rRNA from 1 species